rnacentral:rRNA from 1 species
UACGUAGGGCGCAAGCGUUGUCCGGAAUUAUUGGGCGUAAAGAGCUCGUAGGCGGCCUGUCGCGUCUGCUGUGAAAUCCCGGGGCUUAACCCCGGGCGUGCAGUGGAUACGGGCUGGCUGGAGGCAGGCAGGGGAGAACGGAAUUCCCGGUGUAGCGGUGAAAUGCGCAGAUAUCGGGAGGAACACCGGUGGCGAAGGCGGCGCGCUGGGCCUCUUCUGACGCUGAGGCGCGAAAGCCAGGGGAGCAAACGGG